GACGAACGCUGGCGGCGUGCUUAACACAUGCAAGUCGAACGGACAGGCCCUGCUUUUGUGGGGUGCUCGAGUGGCGAACGGGUGAGUAACACGUGAGUAACCUGCCCUUGACUUUGUGAUAACUUCAGGAAACUGGGGCUCAUACCGGAUAUGAGCUCCUGCUGCAUGGUGGGGGUUGGAAAGUUUCGGCGGUUGGGGAUGGACUCGCGGCUUAUCAGCUUGUUGGUGGGGUAGUGGCUUACCAAGGCUUUGACGGGUAGCCGGCCUGAGAGGGUGACCGGCCACAUUGGGACUGAGAGACGGCCCAGACGCCUACGGGAGGCAGCAGUGGGGAAUAUUGCACAAUGGGCGGAAGCCUGAUGCAGCAACGCCGCGUGCGGGAUGACGGCCUUCGGGUUGUAAACCGCUUUCGCAUGUGACGAAGCGUGAGUGACGGUAAUGGGUAAAGAAGCAACGGCUAACUACGUG
rnacentral:rRNA from 1 species